AACGAACGCUGGCGGCGGGCUUAACACAGGCAAGUCGAGCGCCCUGCAAGGGGAGCGGCAGACGGGUGAGUAACGCGUGGGAAUCUAGCCGGAGCUGCGGAAUAGCUCCGGGAAACGGGAAUUAAUACCGCAUGUGCCCUGAGGGGCAAAGAUUUAUCGGUUCAGGAUGAGCCCGCGUCCGAUUAGCUAGUUGGUGGGGUAAUGGCCUACCAAGGAGCCGAUCGGUAGCUGGUCUAAGAGGAUGGUCAGCCACAUUGUGACUGAGACACGGCCGAAAAGCCGACGGGAAGCAGCAGUGGGGAAUAUUGGACAAUGGGCGCAAGCCUGAUCCAGCCAUGCCGCGUGAGUGAUGAAGGCCCUAGGGUUGUAAAGCUCUUUCAGUGGGGACGAUAAUGACGGUACCCACAGAAGAAGCCCCGGCUAACAUCGUGCCAGCCGCCGCGGUAA
rnacentral:rRNA from 1 species